rnacentral:tRNA from 1 species
CGGGGUGGAGGCCAACCGUGCCGGUUGAGCUCGUACCGGCCUGUCACGCCGGAGCUCGCGGGUUCGGGUCCCGUCGCUCCGA